GUCUACGGCCAUACCACCCUGAACGCGCCCGAUCUUGUCUGAUCUCGGAAGCUAAGCAGGGUCGGGCCUGGUUAGUACUUGGAUGGGAGACUAAGGCCUCGGGUCCAGGCAUCUUAUCCU
rnacentral:rRNA from 1 species